UCGAGAAUCUUCGGCAAUGGGCGAAAGCCUGACCGAGCGAUGCCGCGUGCGGGAUGAAGGCCUUCGGGUUGUAAACCGCUGUCGUAGGGGAGAAAGGGUCGUUGAAGAAACGACUUUGAUCUAUCCUAGGAGGAAGUCCGGGCUAAGUUCGUGCCAGCAGCCGCGGUAACACGAACCGGACAAACGUUAUUCGGAAUUACUGGGCUUAAAGGGUGCGUAGGCGGUGCGGUAAGUGCGGUGUGAAAUCCCACGGCUCAACCGUGGAAUUGCGCUGCAUACUGCCGUGCUAGAGGGAGACAGGGGUAAGCGGAACUGAUGGUGGAGCGGUGAAAUGCGUUGAUAUCAUCAGGAACACCGGUGGCGAAAGCGGCUUACUGGGUCUCUUCUGACGCUGAGGCACGAAAGCUAGGGUAGCGAACGGGAUUAGAUACCCUCGUAGUCCCUGAGCGGGCUGGCAAGGCGCAU
rnacentral:rRNA from 1 species